UACGGAGGAUGCGAGCGUUAUCCGGAUUUAUUGGGUUUAAAGGGUGCGUAGGCGGCCUGCCAAGUCAGCGGUAAAAUUGCGGGGCUCAACCCCGUACAGCCGUUGAAACUGCCGGGCUCGAGUGGGCGAGAAGUAUGCGGAAUGCGUGGUGUAGCGGUGAAAUGCAUAGAUAUCACGCAGAACCCCGAUUGCGAAGGCAGCAUACCGGCGCCCGACUGACGCUGAGGCACGAAAGUGCGGGGAGCAAAUAGG
rnacentral:rRNA from 1 species